rnacentral:rRNA from 1 species
GACGAACGCUGGCGGCGUGCUUAACACAUGCAAGUCGAACGGAAAGGCCCUGCUUUUGUGGGGUGCUCGAGUGGCGAAUGGGUGAGUAACACGUGAGUAACCUGCCCUUGACUUUGGGAUAACUUCAGGAAACUGGGGCUAAUACCGGAUAGGAGCUCCUGCUGCAUGGUGGGGGUUGGAAAGUUUCGGCGGUUGGGGAUGGACUCGCGGCUUAUCAGCUUGUAGGUGGGGUAGUGGCUUACCAAGGCUUUGACGGGUAGCCGGCCUGAGAGGGUGACCGGCCACAUUGGGACUGAGAUACGGCCCAGACUCCUACGGGAGGCAGCAGUGGGGAAUAUUGCACAAUGGGCGGAAGCCUGAUGCAGCAACGCCGCGUGCGGGAUGACGGCCUUCGGGUUGUAAACCGCUUUCGCCUGUGACGAAGCGUGAGUGACGGUAAUGGGUAAAGAAGCACCGGCUAACUACGUG